rnacentral:rRNA from 1 species
AUUGAACGCUGGCGGCAGGCUUAACACAUGCAAGUCGAGCGAGCGGCGGACGGGUGAGUAAUGUCUGGGAAACUGCCUGAUGGAGGGGGCUACCUACUGGAAACGGUAGUUAAUACCGCAUACCAGCAGAAGUGCCCAGAUGGGAGUAGCUAGGAGGGGGGGUAAUGGCUCACCUAGGAGACGAUCCCUAGCUGGUGUGAGGGGAUGACCAGCAACACUGGAACUGAGACACGGUCCAGACUCGUACGGGAGGCAGCAGUGGGGAAUAUUGCACAAUGGGCGGAAGCCUAAUGCGGCCAUGCCGCGUGUGUGAAGAAGGCCUUCGGGUUGUAAAGCACUUUCAGCGAGGAGGCGUUACUCGCAGAAGAAGCACCGGCUAACUCCGUGCCAGCAGCCGCGGUAAUUC